AUUGAACGCUGGCGGCAUGCCUAACACAUGCAAGUCGAACGGUAACAGGAAGCAGCUUGCUGCUUUGCUGACGAGUGGCGGACGGGUGAGUAAUGUCUGGGAAACUGCCUGAUGGAGGGGGUUAACUACUGGAAACGGUAGCUAAUACCGCAUAACGUCGCAAGACCAAAGAGGGGGACCUUCGGGCCUCUUUCCAUCGGAUGUGCCCAGAUGGGAUUAGCUAGUAGGUGGGGUAACGGCUCACCUAGGCGACGAUCCCUAGCUGGUCUGAGAGGAUGACCAGCCACACUGGAACUGAGAAACGGUCCAGACUCCGGCGGUAGGCAGCAGUGGGGAAUAUUGCGCAAUGGGGGCAAGCCUGAUGCAGCAAUGCCGGGUGAAUGAAGAAGGCCUUCGGGUUGGAAAGUACUUUCAGCGGGGAGGAAGGAAGGAAAGUUAAUACCUUUGCUUAUUGACGUUACCCGCAGAAGAAGCACCGGCUAACUCCGUG
rnacentral:rRNA from 1 species